UGUUGGGAUCUGGUUUUGUGGUCUGGAUUCGUCGUAUUUCGUUGUCUAAAGUUUUUAGGAUCAUCUUGAUACGUUUUAUGGUUUGGUACAGUAGGUUUUAAGGGAAUUUCGAGGGGUUUUUUCCUUCGCCGUUGACGGCCUCGGUUUACCGGAAGUAUGGAUAGACAUUUCUCCCUUGUCCCGUGCAGUGGUCCCGUGACACUCUUGUGAAAGGAGUACAGAUCUGGCAUCUUGACAGGACCCCGGGGAGUCAUAAAACACCCUGAACAGCGUCGCCCGAAGACGGAAGGCGAGAGGAAAAUACCAGACCGGGACUAGAUGCAGGUCCGUGGCUGCAUGCGUUCUCCCCCUUUUCCGCUAUGGAAUAACCCAUGGUCGCUGGCCAAUGGGCUGCCUAGUAUUCAUAUUGCGUAAUGCAGAUGAAACGUAAACCAAGCUGAUUACGAACACAGCAGUCAUUUCGCUGCCAGACAGAGGGGAGACAACACGUGUCUGGGACCGGUCUCUGAUGAUUGAUUACAACUGCCCCCACGAAGUCAACGCACUCCCCUGCACUUCGGGGCUCAUCAUAAAGAUAAACAAGAUCAAAAGAAGUACAACUAUAAUACUUGCAGUGGAAAGGAAACAUCUCAUCAUCAUGGACUUCUUAUUCUAUUUCUUAUCACUUUUAUUAUUCUUAUUCAAAAGCGAAUCAACAUUUUGAAAUAUUUUCAAUAUUUCGUUGGGCUAAAGGGCUCAGGUACAGGUUAAUAUGUGUGGGUCUCUGAUCUUUGCACAGGUCGGGCAAAUAAUGAGAUCCACACGAAUUCAAGGGACGUCGGUGGCUUUCACUGAAAGACGAGCUGUAUCACUGAAGGGAAGGACAUCCGUGUGCAAAUUGCUACAAGGGGAUCGAGGCUGAGAGCCAUAUGCAAAACCCGAAACAACGUCGCCCGAAGGAGCAAGGCCAUGACAGGGAAAUGCCAGACCGGCAGCAGAGCCGCGGGCGGCCAACCGAUUGCGCUGCUUUUGAGGGAAAAACUGAGUGCAGUUAGAGAAUUCAUGGACUGACGUACACGUACUAUCUGCGUUAUUUGACUUAACGAAUACGUGUUGUCUAUUCUAUUAGGUCAUAUUUAGUCAUGUAAAAAAUAAUUCAAUUCACCUAGACAACGAUGGAUAUACGAAUGGUGGACAUCCUAACCAAACGUAUAUGGAAACUUUAUUGACACGACAAAAGUACAGCGACUUUCGUGAGGAUUAUAACAACUAUUUACAGACUACAGCUAAGCAGACGUAUGUGCAUAUUUACAGAUAUGAAUAAGUCAACAUGUUGUUUCUAGCAUGUAAUUUACAUAAUUCGAACAUUGCCUGCAAAUGUCUUGAGUUACAAACGAACUUUUACCAAUCUAACGUUUGCGGGAGUUUCUCAACGAUAAAAAUACACGUCCGUGCAGCCGUUUACUUUUGGGUUGUAGCAGCCGUUAACUUUUGGGCUGUAGCAGCCUUUCACUCCGUCACUUACAAGAAGAUACAACGCAACGAUUGCUAGAUGUAAUUAGUCUGUAGUAUUAUACUAUGAUUGUUAUUCUUGAACGGUUAUUCGUUUGAUGACGUGAACUGCAACAGACCGAGAUGUACUUAGUCUAGUAAUAUGAGCGAUAUUGUGUAGCUGUCUGUCAGGUAAGGCAGAAUACAAAGACGAGAGAUUUCUACGGCAGUUCAGGAGAGCAGACAUUUGUCUAGUACUGAGACAGAAUGUUAAUACAAGAGAUUUCUAAGGUAAGAGAGUUCAGUUCAGGAGAGACAAUAGAGAACUUCAGUUAAGGCCAAAGAGAGAUAGCAUUAUUAUGAAGUCUAUUAUAUUGUUAAAAGUCUUCUGUACCCAGCGUGCGGAAA